ACACCAUUAAACCCCAGAGGAAGAAGAUUAGUUUCACAGCGCUGUGUUUUGUUGUGAUGCUGUUUUAAUACAAGCUGUUAGAAAUGUUGUUUCUGUAGAUACAAUAAGUUUUUGAACCAAUCUAGUAAAUUUCUGUAAUAUUCUCAUCCUCAUAGUCGUGACUAAUUUUGAAGCAAGCAGGAAUAUCUGGAGGAGAACCAGCUGAACUGAGAUCUGCUGCUGUGAAGAUGGUGUUUGUUAAAGAGGAGAGUGAAGAGGACAUGGAUGAACCAGAACCCUGGAGAAUAAAACAAGAAGAACCAGAAACCAGGAGAAUAAAACAGGAGGAACACGGAGGCCUGAUGAAAGUGAAAGAGGAAAUACAAGAUCUGAAUGAAGUGGAGGAGAUGCUUCAGCAUCAGAAAGCUCAUGAUGCAACUGGAGAAAAAUCAGUGAGUUUCUCCAAAACUGAAAACAGUUGCUCACAACGCAACGUUCAAGGAAAAGAGGUCAAAAGGCCCUUCAGCUGCUCUCAGUGUGGAAAUGCAUUUACUCGUAAAAAAUACCUUGAGAAUCACAUGAGAAGUCAUAAUAGAAUAAAUCCUUUCACCUGCUCUGAGUGUGGACGUACUUUUACACACAAAGGAAGCCUUAAGAAUCACAUGUUAAUUCAUACAGGAAAAAAGUCUUUUACCUGCUCUCAGUGUGGAAACUCGUUCAGUCACAAAGGAAGCCUUUGGAAUCACAUGAAAAUUCACACUGGAAUAAAUUCUUUCAGCUGCUCUCAGUGUGGAAAGAAUUUCACGCAGAAAAGAAAACUUAAUGAGCAUAUGCUAAUUCACACUUCACAAAACCAACUAACUUGUCCUCAGUGUGGAAAGACAUUUACGUGUAAAGGAAGUCUGAAGACUCACAUGUUAAUUCAUGCUGGAAUAAAGCCUUUCGUCUGCCCCCAGUGUGGGAACAGUUUUAGAUAUAAAGGAUGCCUUAAGGAUCAUUUGGUAACUCACUCUUCAGAAAAGCCUUUCACCUGCUCUGAGUGUGGAAAGUCUCUGUCACGUAGAGAAAGCCUGAAGAAUCACAUGUUAACUCAUGCUGGAAUAAAGCCUUUUGUGUGCUCUCAGUGUGGAAAGAGUUUUACACAGAAAAAACAACUCAAUGAGCAUGCACUUAUUCACACCUCAGAAAAGCCUUUCACCUGCUCUGAGUGUGGAAAGACUUUGUCACGUAGAGAGAGCCUGAAGAAUCACAUGUUGAUUCAUGCUGGAAUAAAGUCUUUUACCUGCUCUCAGUGUGGAAAGAGUUUCACACAAAAAAAACAACUUAAUGAGCAUGUGCUUUAUCACACCUCAGAAAAGUCUUUAACCUGCUCUCUGUGUGGAAAGAGUUUCAAACGUAAAGAAAGCCUUAAGAAUCACAUGUUCAUUCAUGCUGGAAUAAAGCCUUUCAGCUGUUCUCAGUGUGGAAAGUGUUUCACACAAAAAAAACAACUUAAUGUGCAUGUGCGCAUUCACACUUCAGAAAAGUCUUUCACCUAUUAGUUCACAUGUUAAUUCAUGCUGGGGGAAAACCUUUUUGCUAACUCUCAGUGUGGAAAGUGUUUCACCUGUAAACAAGGAGUUAAUAGUCACAUGAGAAUCAUCGAAGCAAUUCCUUAUGCAUGCCAUCUGUGUGAAAAGAGCUUUAAAUGGAAAACGUGGCUCAAAGCUUAUUUGCACUCUGCAGUAUGGUGAUUUAAAGGUGCUGUAAACAAUUUUGAGAAAGCUGUUGAAUGUGAAUCAGACCAAGCCCCACAACACACUUGCAAUCAAUCAGCAUUAGGGGCCAUGUCACUCAAACCAUUUAUUCACUGUUAAAAAGGCCUGCUGACUUUUAUUUUGAAGUGUUCUGGCGAUCAGCCAAUGUGCUGUCAACACCGCAACAUAAAGACACUCGGACUGGGCGAUAUGGAAAAAAAUAUAUAUCUUAUGGAUAAUCGCCUUUAAAAUUAUUGCAGUGUCUUUUGACAUUGUCUACCAAAGCCCCACCUCCAUCACGUCUCCCCCACACCGGGACAACGUUGCAGACAUGCAGCAUAAACACACACCAUGUUCAGUUUGGCCUUAAUUAUUGCCAUGGUUGGUUUUACUUUUCUUUGUUUGUGCUUAGAAAACAUCAGCUUUGCUGUUAUGAUGCUGUUGCUAAUAAUGUCCACUCUGUUCUUAUCAAAUUUGUGUUCGAAAUUAAUUUAAUUUUGUGAGGAGAACUGAUGAGGAAAAAUAAUAGAACCCAAUUUUACGUCUUGGUGAUGUUAGACAUUCUGGCCAUGAUAAUAAAUGCAUGUUGAUGCCACAGUAAUAUGUCUUGAAUAAAAUACGUCUAUUUUCGUAUGUUUCUCUUAUUAUUAUAAUUAUAGUUGUUUAAUUGGUUUUAAACUUGUAGCCAAGCUAUAAUGUAUUUGAUAAAUACUAUGUAUGAUUAAAAUCAGGGAAUAAAGAGAAA